GAGGAUAUAGCUCAGCAGUAGAGCACAUGCUUAGCAUGCAUGAGGUCAUGAUGUCCUGGGUUCAAUCCCCAGCACCGCCA
rnacentral:tRNA from 1 species